rnacentral:rRNA from 1 species
AGUGAACGCUGGCGGUAGGCCUAACACAUGCAAGUCGAACGGCAUCACUCUAAUAGCUUGCUCUUACGGGUUUCGCGUGGCGGACGGGUGUGGAAUACAUCGGAAUCUCCUUUUUCGUUGGGGCUACCGUUGGGAAACUUACGCCAUUACCGCUUACAACCUUCGGUUGAUAGUAGGUGAUCUUCGGAUCUUGCUCGAUUCAAUGAGACGUUGUCGUAUUAGCUAGUUGGCGGGGUAAAGGCCCACCAAGGCGACGAUCCGUAGCUGGUCUGAGAGGUUGAUCAGCCACACUGGAACUGAGACACGGUCCAGACUCCUACGGGAGGCAGCAGUAGGGAAUAUUGGACAAUGGGCGCAAGCCUGAUCCAGCCAUACCGCGUGGGUGAAGAAGGACUUCGGGUUGUAAAGCCCUUUUGUUGGGAAAGAAAAGCAGCAGGUUAACAACCCGCUGUUCUGACGGUACCCAAAGAAUAAGCAACGGCUAACUUCGUG